UGGAGAAUCCCGAGUAUGGCAGAGCUGGGUGGGGUCUAUGUCAGAGGUACGUCUAUGGGGUUGCACAGUCGGACAUGACUAAGCAACUUAGCAGCAGCAGCAGUGUGUAUAUGUUAAUUCCAAACUACUUUUUAUUUUAGAAUUCACUGUUUUAUAUUUCACUUUUGAUUCUUUUUUAAAUUUAUUUUUAGUUGAAGGAUAAUUGCUUUACAAUGUUAUGUUGAUUGCUGCUGUACAACAACCUGAAUCAGCAUAUAUUCCCUCCCUCCUACCCCCUCAUCCCAGCCCUCUAGGUUGUCACAGAGCACCAGGCUGAGGUGCAUGAGCCUAGAACCUGUUACACAGAGUAAAACAAAACCCAGAGCUUAGCCACCUCCUUCUUGAUCCUGAUGAGAACCUGAUGUGAACCAGUGAUUCUGAAACCAUCCUUUAGCCUGUGUUCAUCAUCAUCCAGUAUAAGCCAAGCAAACCACUCUCUGGAGAAAGAGGUGACCCUAUCAGCCAUCCUGGUACUUUGCUCCUCAAAAGGCACCAUGGAACCCAGGAGGUGGACCUAAACCUCUCCCAGACCAGUACAAGUCCCAUUUAUGGAAGCUUGCACUCAAAGAAGUUCGUCUAAGUGACCAAGGACAAUUUACCAUGAAUUUCCUCCCUGGUUGGGGAUUUACAUGCCGCAACUAAGAUCCCAUAUAAUGUAACAAAGAUUCCAUGGGCCACAAUAAAGAUCCCACGUACCAAAAUUAAAAGAUCGCAUAUGCCACAACUAAAGAUCCCCCAUGCUGCAAAAAGAUCCCAUAUACCACAACUAUAAAUAUCCCACACGCUACAAUGAAGAUUCUGCCUGCCACCAUUAAAAAGAUCCUGUGUGCUGCAACAAAGAUCCCACAUACCGCAGGUAAAGACCUCAUGUGCUACAACAAAAUCCUAUAUGCUGCAAUGCAGAUCAUGCAUGUUGCAACUAGAAGGAUCUUGCAUUUCCCAACUGAUAGAUGCCACAUGCUGUGACUAAAAUAUCCCACAUGCCACAACUAAUAGAUUCUGCAUGGUGGAACUAAGAUCCUACAUAUCACAACAAAUAUCCCAAUAUCACAAUUAAAAGAUCCUACAUGUUGCAACAAAGAUCCUGCAAACCAAAACUAAAAGAAUCUGUAUGUAGCAACUAAAGAUACCCCAUGCCACAACUAAAGAUCUUGCUUACUGCAACUAAAAGAUCCCGCAUGUCACAACUAAAAUUUCCUAAGUGACACAACAAAGAUCCCACAUAUCGCAACAAAUAUCCCCAUAACACAAGUAAAAGAUCUCACAAGCUGAAACCAAACAUAUUCCUCAUUCUGCAACUACAAGAUCCUACAUGCAACAACUAAAAGAUCACAUAUGCUGUAACUAAAGAUUUACAUGCAACUACAAAGAUCCCACACACUACAACUAAAAGAUCCCCCAUGCCACAACUAAAGAUCCUGCAUGCCACCACAAAAUCCCACACACCAAAGCUAAAAGAUCCCAUAGGCCACAACUAAAUAACCCGCAAACUAAAAAUAAAUAUCCCACAUGCCCUGAUUUAAGAGAGGCUGCAUGUAAGCAAUGAAGAUCCCAUGUGCCACAACUAAGACCCAACAUAAACUAAUAAGUUAAAUAC